CAGUCGCCGCGGUAAUACGUAGGGCGCGAGCGUUGUCCGGAAUUAUUGGGCGUAAAGAGCUCGUAGGCGGCUGGUCGCGUCUGUCGUGAAAUCCUCUGGCUUAACUGGGGGCUUGCGGUGGGUACGGGCCGGCCUGAGUGCGGUAGGGGAGGCUGGAACUCCUGGUGUAGCGGUGGAAUGCGCAGAUAUCAGGAAGAACACCGGUGGCGAAGGCGGGUCUCUGGGCCGUUACUGACGCUGAGGAGCGAAAGCGUGGGGAGCGAACAGGAUUAGAUACCCCCGUAGUCCCUGUCUCUUAUAA
rnacentral:rRNA from 1 species